rnacentral:lncRNA from 1 species
AUCUUACAUAGUGGAACGAGUUUUAAAAAUAGGUCAUAAACAAUUAUUUACUAAAAGAAUCAUGUGGAAAGAAUUGCUUUUACUAUUGGUAGUGACAAAAUCGUUAGUCGCUUCAGUUAAGGUAGUAUAUCACGUAACUUCUGACCAUGUAUACGAAGAAUUGUUGUUUAUAUUCUACGUGACACUCUCAAAUCACGAGACAUCGUAUUAAACAUUAUUACAUUACAGCCGAUUGCAUUGAGUGUGUAGGUAAAGGUAAUAAUUUCGGUUAGCUUGCUUGCUAGCUGAACCGUGAAGUAAUUAUUUGGUAAGAUAACCUAGUCCACCAGACAGAUAGAUCGGUUAUCUGUCGACUAGUCUUCUCUUAAAGGAGGAUACUUGACCUAACCUAAUAAUAAUAAUAAUGAAUUCAUGGUUCAGCUAGCAACCAAGCUAACUAAAGAUAUUAACUUUACAUACACACGCAAUGCAAUCGACUGUAAUUGGGAAUUAAAAUUGAGUCCGUGAUACUGUAUAUAGUUACUAAAUCUGUCAAAAAGGUGACUUCAUAUGUUCAAAAGGCCCGAUGCAACAUUUACCACACAAUCUUGUAAAAAGUAUUGAUGCAUGUUCACAAGUCACUAUAAUAAUUCAGUGAUUGUCGUUUGUUUAUGUGUUACAUAUUUGUUUUUCGUUCAUUUUUUAUACAUAAAUUGUGCCAUUAGUUUUCUUGUUUGAUUUGUUUUACAUAGUCAUAACAGGGCCUUUUAAAGCUGACUAUGCGGUAUGGGCUUUGCUCAAUGUUGAAGGCCGUACUGUGACCUAUAUUUGUUAAUUUCUGUGUGAUUUUGGUCUCUUGUGGAGAGUUGUCUCAUUGGCAAUCAUACUACAUUCUCUUUUUUUAAAGUUACUUGCGUGCUUUUAUCCUUACUAUGCGUGGUAACGUAUUUAUGCACCCCUAAUAAUUGUGUUCUGAUUACUGGUUUUUUUCCUUCUUUCGGCGGUGUUUGGUGGUUCCAUAACAUUUCGCUUAGAUUUUUUGCAUAUCAUAUCAAUCAGUUAUUGUGACUUUGAAACUGACCCUGUUUAACCGAACACUUUUUAUUGUAAGAGUUAUCUCCCCAACACUGCUUUUCUAGUGUGCGCAUCUUCCUUCUCAAUCGAAAAAUAUUACGAUAAAAAUAGUUCAUCAAUUUGCUAUUUAUAUCCUCAGGAUCUUAAGAAUAAUGUUGACCAAAUCAGUCUGGAACCUCCAUAUGAAAGGUAUUUCCCCUUAUGUAUUUAAAAUACUAGUAAGAGAAAUGUAAUUGUAACUGGUAAAGGAUAAGUGAUAGAGACCUAAGGUCUUGAUUUGAUGUCUUUAGUCCAUGCAAAAUAAAAUUAGGUCAAGGUCUCAAAGGACAAGGUCAUGUUCUUACUUUAGAUUUUGGCUACAGUUAACUUUUUUUUUAAAUCUUACGAGAUAUAAACAUCUUAUGUUGCUAAAUUGUUAGUUUCAACAUGUCGUAACACAUACAUUUUGUUUGAAAGGGUAUGUUGAUAUUUCUUAACGGAAGUAAAAAGUUAUCUCCCUUUUAUUUCAAACAAAAGUGUUUUGACACUAAUCAACUUGAAAUAAACUAUAAACCUAAUUUCGUUAUUUUUCAUAUCAUAGGGUUGAGAGACUUUUGAUUGUUCUCUGAACAAUUGUUUGUUUUUUUUUUUUAAAUAAUUAAUGAAAUUGAUCAUAUAUCGACGAAAAAAGGGGGAAACAUGUUUUCAAUUCACAUAAUUAUUGUUGUUUCAGAUCCAGCGUAAACAGGAUUCUCAAUGUGGAUCGGAUGAAUGCUGUUAUUAUGACGAAGGGCCAAUAUGGUUGCCAGCAAAAGGCGCCGGGCUGUUUUACCGUUCACUGGUAUGGUUCAAGGU